UGGAACGCGGCCACUCCUAAUGAGCUACACCUGUGCUUGGGCCUGCUCCGUCUGUGGGCAAAUUUGGCGAACAAAUUGAUGGAAACUUACCAACAUGUCUGUGCUUAUACACGACUCCAGUCGAGGCGGCGUGUUGUACUCCAUUCCGGAUUUCAUCUGUUUCUCAACGAAGCUUCGAGCCAGCCAAGAAAUUCAGCCACUUUGGUGUAGACUCCAGGGUGGUUGGGCUCGGCGCAGCCAUUCCCCCAGCUGACAACCCCCAUUAACCUCCACACGUUGUCAUCCUGGCACACCAGAGGACCGCCACUGUCACCCUACACCGGUGUUGAAUACAGAUGUUGACUGACUGGUCCAGUCUUCCCACAUACCAACAAUAUUCAAAAACGUCUUUGCAAGGAUAUCUGAUGAGUGAACUGAAGGGAGAGAACACACGCCAUGGCAGCUCUGUCUGUAUGCUUGGAACACAGGAUGUAUGCAAUCGCCAAUCUUACCACCGUCAGGUUGUGUGUAUCCCCAGCCAGAGAUCCAGCACUGUGUUCCUCCAGGUGGGUCAUAGUUAUACUGGGGCAAACAAACAGGCCUAACUGUAUCUAAUGCAAUCCGGGACAGGGAGACAGGUGGUUAAAAUUUUGCACUUUAUUCCCCAUACAGUGUCAUUUUCAUAGAUGUAUUGUUUUACUACCUGUGGCAAGCAUUGUUGGUUUAAAGCCUUAUUACAAGGCUUUAUAAGUAUUGGUAAGUAUUCAUACAGUAAAUGGCCUUUCACUUGUGCAGCACUUUUCUACCUUUUGAAGGUACUCAAAGUGAUUUGACAUUGUUACCACAUUUACCUACUGAGGACGCAGCAUCUGGAGUAACUGGAGGUUCAGUAUCUUGGCCAAGGAAUAACGUUUUUCUAAUUUUGCACCACACAAAUCCACAGGAGGUCUUUGUCACCUGUGGCCAAUCAAUAAAUAUUAAAUGCCAAUAUUAUAGGCACCAUUUUUCUCGUAAACAUUACACUGUUACCUUGAAUAUGCUACCUCUUCUGCAAUAUGGUAUACAACAGGGGUGUCCAAACCUUUUCCAGCGAGAGCCACAUAGGGAAAAUGAAAGGAUGCGAAGGCCACUUUGAUAUUUUGUAAGUAGAUAGGCUAAGAAGUUAUACUGUGUAUAUAUAUUUCAAGAAAAAAACUGCAUCUUGACUUUGUGACAGAGGUGAAAAAGCCUAUUAGUAUAAACUUUGGUCUUUGCUGUUUUUUUUUUGUAAUUCAACUACCGUAUUCAACUUUCUUCUUGAAUAAUCUUCAUAAAUUUUCUGUUUGUAAUAUGAGUGUAUUCCCAUAUUAUCCAUUUUCCCCAACCUAAUUU